CCUACGGGGGGCAGCAGUCGAGAAUCAUUCACAAUGGGGGAAACCCUGAUGGUGCGACGCCGCGUGGGGGAAUGAAGGUCUUCGGAUUGUAAACCCCUGUCAUGUGGGAGCAAAUUAAAAAGAUAGUACCACAAGAGGAAGAGACGGCUAACUCUGUGCCAGCAGCCGCGGUAAUACAGAGGUCUCAAGCGUUGUUCGGAAUCACUGGGCGUAAAGCGUGCGUAGGCUGUUUCGUAAGUCGUGUGUGAAAGGCGCGGGCUCAACCCGCGGACGGCACAUGAUACUGCGAGACUAGAGUAAUGGAGGGGGAACCGGAAUUCGCGGUGUAGCAGUGAAAUGCGGAGAUAUCGAGAGGAACACUCGUGGCGAAGGCGGGUUCCUGGACAUUAACUGACGCUGAGGCACGAAGGCCAGGGGAGCGAAAGGGAUUAGAUACCCCUGUAGUC
rnacentral:rRNA from 1 species